AAAAAUACCUCCCUCCACCUCACUCUCCUGCUGGUAAUAGCUUAUCUAAAGUGACCACUCUCCUUACAAUGUGUAUGAUAAUCAAGGUGGGCCAUUUCCAGCACAAAUCCAGGGUUUAUCAAGAACGUCUGAGGUGUGGGGAAGGGGGUGGG